UGCGUUCGAUAAGUCAUAACGACUCUCGGCAACGGAUAUCUCGGCUCUCGCAUCGAUGAAGAACGUAGCGAAAUGCGAUACGUGGUGUGAAUUGCAGGAUCCCGUGAACCAUCGAGUUUUUGAACGCAAGUUGCGCCCGAAGCCAUUAGGCCAA
rnacentral:rRNA from 2 species